AUGCAAGGCGGGAUCCAAUUCUCCUCCGCUGAUUGUUCCGUCAUUACGUACAAAACCUGCGGAAACAGUGGUUCCCGACCUGCACCAAGCGAAUUAGAGAUCGCAAAUGAGAGAUUCAUGAUCGUCUUCUUCUUCACAGAAAACCACCAUAUAUUUUUCUCUUUCUCUCUUGAUUCUAGAGAGAGAAAGUUAGAAAGGAUAACUAAACUAAACCCACUCACACGAAUCUAA